rnacentral:sRNA from 1 species
AUUUAGGACUAGUCUGUAGUUGGAGUAUUUCUGAAGUUAAAGAGUAUUUGAAAAUAUGUGGUUAUUUUUGAUGAGCAUGCAGUUUGAUGGUCUCUAUGUACAGGUAAAUGUUCUUGCCAAUGACCGUUCAUUCCUGUUUAACCAUGGAGGAGGCUUUCGUUUGAUUGGUCGAUUUGGGAUUAAACAAAUUGAUGACAGAAAAAUGGACAGGAUGUCAACAGGAAACUUAUGUGUAUUGAGUCAUAAUCUUAUUAACAGUUUUCCUGUGAAUAUUGAAGCACAGGACAUGUAAACAAAAUGCUGAAAUA